rnacentral:rRNA from 1 species
ACUCCUACGGGAGGCAGCAGUAGGGAAUCUUCCACAAUGGGUGCAAACCUGAUGGAGCAAUGCCGCGUGAGUGAAGAAGGUCUUCGGAUCGUAAAGCUCUGUUGUUAGAGAAGAACACGUGCUAGGUAACUACUAGCGCCUUGACGGUAUCUAACCAGAAAGUCACGGCUAACUACGUGCCAGCAGCCGCGGUAAUACGUAGGUGACAAGCGUUGUCCGGAUUUAUUGGGCGUAAAGGGAGCGCAGGCGGUCUGUUUAGUCUAAUGUGAAAGCCCACGGCUUAACCGUGGAACGGCAUUGGAAACUGACAGACUUGAAUGUAGAAGAGGAAAAUGGAAUUCCAAGUGUAGCGGUGGAAUGCGUAGAUAUUUGGAGGAACACCAGUGGCGAAGGCGAUUUUCUGGUCUAACAUUGACGCCGAGGCUCGAAAGCGUGGGGAGCGAACAGGAUUAGAAACCCGGGUAGUCCCAUGAU